GGAGAAGUACCCAAGUGGCUGUAAGGGGCUCCCCUGCUAAGGGAGUAGGCGUGUGAAAGCGUGCGAGGGUUCAAAUCCCUCCUUCUCCGCCA
rnacentral:tRNA from 1 species